rnacentral:rRNA from 1 species
GACGAACGCUGGCGGCGUGCCUAAUACAUGCAAGUCGAGCGAAGUUUUUCUGGUGCUUGCACCGGAAAAACUUAGCGGCGAACGGGUGAGUAACACGUAAAGAACCUGCCUCAUAGACUGGGACAACUAUUGGAAACGAUAGCUAAUACCGGAUAACAGCAUUAACUGCAUGGUUGAUGUUUAAAAGUUGGUUUUGCUAACACUAUGAGAUGGCUUUGCGGUGCAUUAGCUAGUUGGUGGGGUAAAGGCCUACCAAGGCGACGAUGCAUAGCCGACCUGAGAGGGUGAUCGGCCACACUGGGACUGAGACACGGCCCAGACUCCUACGGGAGGCAGCAGUAGGGAAUCUUCCGCAAUGGGCGAAAGCCUGACGGAGCAACGCCGCGUGAGUGAAGAAGGAUUUCGGUUCGUAAAGCUCUGUUGUUAGGGAAGAAUGAUUGUGUAGUAACUAUACACG